GAAACUGUGAUAUUAGAAUAGAGGAAAAAACUUUCAGUACUCUCAUGGAGAGCUGAAAUGUUCAUGAAUCAAACAAAACAGGAGUUAACGGCAUGGACUGAACUUUAACUAGAAGAUUAAAGUAAUCUCUUCGACUUUUUGCUUAAAGUGUUGCUAAUCCUUUGUUUUGUUUUACAGAGUCAAGAAAACUUUUCUUUUGAGCUAUUUACAGCUUUUAACAAUUGAGCAAGGUAUAUUCCUGUAAACAAAAUUUGAGCAUAUUUGUUUCUGUCUACCUGAUUUCUCAAAAAUUCAGAAAUUGUCUGUGAAUAGCUUAACUUGUGGCAAUAUACUUAUUUGCAUAAGUGUAAUAAGAAUCUGUUUUCUUUUGUAACAGGACACAGUUAGAGAAAUUGGCUAUUUUACCAAGGCUUUGACUGGAAUGGUAUGUUUUCCUUUAAGGAAUUAAACUUGACUUACAGAGCCAAUAAAAGACCCUUGGGAAAGAUGUCCGUAUACCUUGUCUACACAGUCCCUGUACAGGAUUCUUGACUUGUGAUAUCACCUUUUGCUGGAACUCAAGAGUUAUGAAUGGCCCUCAGCAUACCUAUGCUUUCUGACUGAGCUCCUCUCUGCCAUGAAUACAACAGACCCAAUAGUUGGGUAGGAAUAAUAUCGCCGCUAUUCAGCCUGAAGAAGUUAUGGAAGAUGGGUCUUCAUCCUUCUGCAACCCUUAGAAUUAAAGGUUCUCUUAUAACAGGGAUGGGGAAAAUGUCAGAAGACUUUGAACCAGAGCAACUCCAUCUUGAAUAGGGAAUGGGUGAAAUGAGGCUGAGACCUACUGGGCUGCGUUCCCAGAUGGUUAGUCAUUCUAAGUCACAGGAUGAGAUAGGAGGUCAGCACAAGAUACAGGCCAUAAAGACCUUGCUGUUAAAACAAGUUGCAAUAAAGAAACCAGCUCAAAUCCACCAAAA